AAACUCAGGCCAUCAAAGUCUGGAAUUUUUAUUUUAUUCCAAAUAAAUACAUGCUGAUUACUUUGUGUUUCAGAUAACCAAUUCACAUACCCACUGAUAAGCACUUGAGAUAUAUAUAUAUAUAUAUACAUAUAUAUAUAUAUAUACACACUUUCCAGAUACAUACAUAUAAAUGCAUAUAUGCAUACAUACAUGUUCUGCAAAAUGAUUCUACACAAAUUAUUUUUACCAAAUAAUCACUGUCUUUACAGGAGACAUUUUGUCUUAGGAGAAUGUCAUUGUUCCAAAUCCUCCAAACAUUUCAUUUUUUGCUGGAGUGCGGGUCACCUGUGUGCAAGAAUGCUUAACGAUCAAACAUUCAGGGGCAUGAUGCAAUAUUGGCCUCUCACACCUGUGGGUCUCCUGCAGCUGGGCCUGAGUGGCUAGCUCUGUCCCGGGCACCUCCGACUCUCCUGACCAGUGUGGCUCUGACAGGAGUGUAAGAGAACAGAUGGAGCCCUGAGCUGGGAACUGACACAAAUCAAAAGAAACCAUGUAGCCAAACCCACAGUCAAAAGCCAACAGAAAUACCCCAUGCUUUCAGCUAGAGAAAGCACCAUCUCCCUCAUGGUAAAAGGUGGAAGUGCACUCAGUAAGGAGUCGGGCCAGUGAAACAGCUUGCCCUUGUUUCCCCCAGUGAUGUAGUUUAUGUAUUUUAUAUAAGAGUAACUAUUUUAAGGUUAGCUUUGGCUUUUUUUUAAAUAGCUAAGUUAUGGGUAAAAUUAGAGAAUCAGAGUAGGUUUAUCAUUGAUUGAGCAGAGAGUAACUAUUAAACCACAUCACAUAAAAUAAUUUUAUUUCUAGAAGAAUUUGUUUAAGAAUAUAGUAUUUAGUGGCAUAAUGUUUGAGAUAAAUGGCUUUCUUAGGUGACCACUUUGAGAUGUUUAAGACUCAUUUGAACUUAAAAAAAAAAAAAACCUUUUUUUUUUUUUUUUUGCUUGUUUUGUUUUUUGUUUGUUUUUGCUUUUGUUUUAUUUUGUUUUGCUUUGCUUCUUUGAGAUAGUAUCUCUCUACAUAGCCCUAACGGUCCCAGAACUCACUAUGUAAACCGGCCUUGAAAUCUACCUGUCUCUGCCUUUUAAAGGUGUGUACCACCACUGCCUGGCUUUCUAAAAUAUUUUUAAUAAUAAAUUCAAUGUAUUAUAUAGUCUUGUGCUGUCAAAGCAGAAUGGGAGUGAGUAGAGUCUCAUGCUAACCUUUUGUCCAACUCUGGAAAAUAUGCUCUCUCUGCAGAUUCUCAUUGCCAAGUCUCCUCUGGCUGCCUUCACCUCCUUUGUCUACACCAUCAAGGGGGAAGGCCUGGUUCUUCAAGGUAAGGUCCCUCUGCUAAACCAAUGUAAGCGUGUUCUUGUCAGGGCUGCUCACUGCCAGUGGCGAGUGUUGCCUGGGUCCUUUUAGAUGCUAGUGCAGGGCAACUCAAAGCCCAAGGGCAGUUAGCUGAUGGUAUUUAUUUUACCCUGAUAAGAUCAAGAGAUUUGACACUUGUAACAAACAUUUGUCAGGAGGGAGGAAGAGCUACAGGACUUAGUAAGAGAGGAAGGGCUGGCUCUGCGGCUCAGCGGUACAUUCACUUAUAUUACUGCAUUAUAACAAGCAAAACAAAAGGAAAAACAAGCAAAAAAACUGUCCAAAUGGGACAACAGCAGAAAGAAAGAGAGAGAGAGAGAGAGAGAGAGAGAGAGAGAGAGAGAGAGAGAGGAAGGAAGGAAGGAAGAAAGGAAGAAAGGAAGGAAGGAGAGAGAGAAGGAAGGAAAGAAAGAAACAAACAAACAAACAAAUGAGGUUUAAUUCAUAAAGAGAUUCUGUAGGCCAAUAUGAAGUAUGACCAUAAAAUUGAUUUUAAAAGGGUGUGUGUGUGUUUCUACAUAAUGUCAGGUGCCUGUCAUAUUGAAACCUGAGGUUAACAGGUGUCUUCCUCUCCUCCUCUCUGCCUUCUGUUUGAGGUUGGAUCCCUUGCUGAGCUUGGACUUGACCUUUUGGCUAGUGUGGCUAGCCAGCUUGCCUCAGGGAAUCUCCUAUCUGUCUCCUGUAUUGAGAUUGCUGGAGGGCAGUCACACGGCCAGCUUUCCACAGGGAGUCUGGGAUUCUCCUUCCACAGGGGGUCUGGGGUUCUCCUUCCACAGGGGGUCUGGGGUUCUCCUUCCACAGGGGGUCUGGAGUUCUCCUUCCACAGGGGGUCUGGGGUUCUCCUUCCACAGGGGGUCUGGGGUUCUCCUUCCACAGGGGGUCUGGGGUUCUGAACUCUUGUCUCCACACUUUCCCAGCGAGUGUUUUACCUGCAGAGUUGGCUCCUCGGGCCCAAAAUGGGGUUUUAAAUUACUUAAAUUUUGUUUCAAAGAACCAUUUCCUUUAAAGCCAGUCUUUGUCUUAGGAGAAUUUCUGUAACGCUUCCUAUUGUUUGUGAGAACUUGUCUCCACCAAGGUGUGAACUGUGCAAAGUUCUCAAUGCCCACAACCUGCAGGGCUGUGUGGGGAAUCCCUGGACCAUCAUUUCCCUGUGCUGAAGUCCCAAAGACACUUCUUCUAGCUUAGACUCUGUGGUACCAUGGUCCUUGGGUUUGAAAGGAGCCAGGUUCUUGCUCAAGGCAAAGCUCCACUGGACCACAGCCCGGGCUCACUGAUGAGCAGUUCCUCAGCCUAGAUGCUCCGUACCCUGCUUAGGAGAGGCUCUUGACAUUGCCAGGUCUUUCCAGAAAAUACUUAACAUGC
rnacentral:lncRNA from 1 species